rnacentral:rRNA from 1 species
UACGUAGGGGGCUAGCGUUGUCCGGAAUCAUUGGGCGUAAAGCGCGUGUAGGCGGUCCGGUAAGUCCGCUGUGAAAGUCGGGGGCUCAACCCUCGGAUGCCGGUGGAUACUGUCGGGCUUGAGUACGGAAGAGGCGAGUGGAAUUCCUGGUGUAGCGGUGAAAUGCGUAGAGAUCGGGAAGAACAUCAGUGGCGAAGGCGGUCUGCUGGGCCGUUGCUGACGCUGAGGCGCGACAGCGUGGGGAGCAAACAGG